UGGAUCAGUGAUACAUGGUGAUAUAUAUGAUUCAUGGAUCAUGACUAUGGAUCUGACAGUCUGUGCUUCAC
ensembl:snoRNA